AUGGAGAGGGAUCAUAUUCAGAAGAAGAUGUUAGCAAUACUGAGAAGACUCCGAAAUGUACGAUCAUGUGUGGAACUUCCACCAAUCUGGCAGCUACCCAACUUGAAAUAUCUGAGAAUUGAUGGAGCACAUGCAGUUAGCAAGGUUGGACCUCAAUUUGUUGGCUGCAAGAAGGGUAAUCCUGUGUGGUCUAUUUUUGAGGAAGAAGUUGCUGCUAAUGAUGAAAGGGGCGAGGAUGGAGCUGCUGAUAUUCGAAAAGAGGAUGCCCAAUCUGCAAGGUUGCAACUGCUACCUCGUUUGGUGGGGUUGCACCUAGAAGAUUGCCCGAAGCUGAGGGCUCUCCCACGACAGCUUGGAAAGGACAUUACCAGCUUGAAGGAGCUUAGAUUAUUUGGAAUAAACAACUUGAAGGCGGUGGAGGACUUUCCAAAUAUUCCCGAGCUCCUUUCUAUAAAAGAUUGUGAAGGCCUGGAGAGGAUCUGCAACCUCGCUCAAGUGACAUACCUGCAUGUACUAGGUUGUCCAAACUUAAGCCAUGUAGAGGGGUUGGGCAAUUUGCAACAACUAGGGUUGGCGGUGGAUAUGCAAGAGGUCUCUUCCGGCUGGGUGCCUGGGUUUCAUGAACAGCACCAACGAAUUCAUGGUGAAGACCUGGAUGUCUCCACGGUUGUCUAG
rnacentral:rRNA from 1 species